GCCGGAGUGGCGAAAUGGUAUACGCGCACGACUCAAAAUCGUGUGGGGCAACCCGUGAGAGUUCGAGUCUCUCCUCCGGCA
rnacentral:tRNA from 1 species